rnacentral:rRNA from 1 species
UACGUAGGGUGCAAGCGUUGUCCGGAAUUAUUGGGCGUAAAGAGCUCGUAGGCGGUUUGUCGCGUCUGCUGUGAAAACCCGAGGCUCAACCUCGGGCCUGCAGUGGGUACGGGCAGACUAGAGUGCGGGUAGGGGAGAUUUGGAAUUCCUGGUGUAGCGGUGGAAUGCGCAGAUAUCAGGAGGAACACCAAUGGCGAAGGCAGAUCUCUGGGCCGUAACUGACGCUGAGGAGCGAAAGCCAGGGGAGCAAACGGG